GCAUGUACAUCAUAUCUCCAACAUCAAACUCCAGGGGGUAGGAGUUUGCGUCCUUUUGCUGUGUAAAUGCUUGUGACUGGAAGAACUCAAACUGGUAGGUGAAUGUGCCGAAGCCCUUCUCUGUGAAGGUAACUGGGGGCCUGUGAGCGAUGUAACUUAGGACCACGUCACCCCGCUUGGAAUACUUGCAGAAGAACUCGAUGUCAACCUCGGCGUCCCUUGUUAUAAUGGCACGUGGGUCAUUGUUAGACAAAAUCAUAUUCCUGAAGAUGAGAUAUUUGCCAUCAUCCUUGUAAAAGACAGAGAGAACAAAGAAACAAACAUGUCUAUGACAUUGCAUCAAAUGUUGCCAGCAAAAAGUGUACAUACUUGCUAAAGUAUGAGUAUGUAAAUGUCAGUGAAUCUUUAAGCAAGCAAUUAUGUACCAGUCAGUGAGUGUGUGAGAAUGCAACUGUGUUAAAGUCAGCGAGUGUGUGAGUAUUCAAGUUUGUAAAGGUCAGUGAGUGUGUGAGUAUUGAAGUUUGUAAAAGUUAGUGAGUGUGUGAGUAUUGAAGUUUGUAAAGAUCUUGAGUGUGUGAGUAUUCAAGUUUGUAAAAGUUAGUGAGUGUGUGAGUAUUCAAGUUUGUAAAAGUUAGUAAAUGUGUGAGUAUUCAAGUUUGUAAAAGUUAGUGAGUGUGUGAGUAUGCACGUUUGUAAAAGUCAGUGAGUAUGUGAGUAUGUAUUUGUCACUCACCUCCAUCUGAGUGCC
ensembl:lncRNA